AUCGGCGGUUCAUUAACGUUUCGGGAUAAACGGUGAAUCCGCAGAGUGGACCAGCUGGCAACAAAGACAGGAUGCAUGCUGCAAGAUGCUGCAGUCACAGGAGCUACUGGCCUGCCUGGUUAAACACACAUGCAUGUUCCAGUGCAGUGAACGGGGGAGAAACAUGAGACUUCCAGAAGAUGAAAGACAGAUGCUUUCCACUUCUGUUUACAGACACCUUUCCCAGAAAAGACAAGAACAUGAAUAGAAGAUGAGCUAAAACAGAAUUAAAAAAAAACAACAGAAACAGAAAGACAGGAAAGAGUUCGGGCUCUUUGUAGUUACACAAAAGCCAGCGUCACCACUGUAUCCUAUAUAUUUACAAGUUUAAGACAAGUCUGCUUUUUUUGGGUCUGUAUUGUAUUGUGUUGACACAUAACUCGAUAAUUCACAGGCUUGAUGAACCUAUGUCUUGUGA